rnacentral:rRNA from 1 species
GGAUCAGCACCAUCGGUCGUGCCUCCGGUGCGCACUGGGGUCGUUGGUUCCUCCCUUCUGAGGAUCUAUUAUGCCAUUAAUUUGGUGUGGUGGGGAAUCAGGACUGUUACCUUGAAAAAAUUAGAGUGUUUAAAGCAGGCAUACGCUUGAAUACAUUAGCAUGGAAUAAUGAAAUAGGACGUUCGAACCUAUUUUGUUGGUUUCUAGGAUCAACGU